GGCUCAGGAUGAACGCUAGCGGCAGGCUUAACACAUGCAAGUCGAGGGGUAUAGUUCUUCGGAACUAGAGACCGCGCACGGGUGCGUAACGCGUAUGCAAUCUACCUUUACAGAGGGAUAGCCCAGAGAAAUUUGGAUUAAUACCUCAUAGUAUGUGAGAAUCGCAUGGUUUUCACAUUAAAGUUCCAACGGUAAAAGAUGAGCAUGCGUCCCAUUAGCUAGAUGGUAAGGUAACGGCUUACCAUGGCGACGAUGGGUAGGGGUCCUGAGAGGACGACCAGCCACACUGGAACUGAGACACGGUCCAGACUCCUACGGGAGGCAGCAGUGGGGAAUUUUGGACAAUGGACGCAAGUCUGAUCCAGCCAUUCCGCGUGCAGGAUGAAGGCCCUCGGGUUGUAAACUGCUUUUGUACGGAACGAAAAGGUUUCCAUUAAUACUGGGAGCUCAUGACGGUACCGUAAGAAUAAGCACCGGCUAACUACGUG
rnacentral:rRNA from 1 species